rnacentral:rRNA from 1 species
GUGGGGAAUAUUCCGCAAUGGACGAAAGUCUGACGGACCAACGCCGCGUGAGUGAUGAAGGUUUUCGGACUGUAAAGCUCUGUUGUUUAGGACGAAAGUGCCUGUUGCGAACAGUUACAGGUAUUGACGGUACUAAACGAGGAAGCCACGGCUAACUACGUGCCAGCAGCCGCGGUAAUACGUAGGUGGCAAGCGUUGUCCGGAAUUAUUGGGCGUAAAGAGCAUGUAGGCGGAGAUUUAAGUCUGUUGUGAAAAUGCGGGGCUCAACCCCGUAUUGCGAUGGAAACUGAAUUUCUUGAGUGCAGGAGAGGAAAGGGGAAUUCCCAGUGUAGCGGUGAAAUGCGUAGAUAUUGGGAGGAACACCAGUGGCGAAGGCGCCUUUCUGGACUGUGUCUGACGCUGAGAUGCGAAAGCCAGGGUAGCGAACGGGAUUAGAAACCCUUGUAGUCC